rnacentral:lncRNA from 1 species
AAAUGGAGAUCAUGUGUGAGACUGUAAGUGAAAUCUCACAUCUCAAAGUAAAGCAGUUCAUUUUGACAUUUUUAAAGUAGUUGCCAAUGGUGUGGUAUUAUCUCCAAAAAAAGCUCACACCGCCUUGGAAGGCACUGGCCACAUCCCAUGGCCAGAAAGUUCUUCUGUAUCUUGUUCUGGGUUAUUCAGUUCAGUUCCUAAUGUGAAGAUUCAAGAGAGAUGCUCAUAGGAUU